rnacentral:rRNA from 1 species
GGCGUAAGGGCUCGCAGGCGGUUUCUUAAGUCUGAUGUGAAAGCCCCCGGCUCAACCGGGGAGGGUCAUUGGAAACUGGGAAACUUGAGUGCAGAAGAGGAGAGUGGAAUUCCACGUGUAGCGGUGAAAUGCGUAGAGAUGUGGAGGAACACCAGUGGCGAAGGCGACUCUCUGGUCUGUAACUGACGCUGAGGAGCGAAAGCGUGGGGAGCGAACAGGAUUAGAUACCCUGGUAGUCCACGCCGUAAACGAUGAGUGCUAAGUGUUAGGGGGUUUCCGCCCCUUAGUGCUGCAGCUAACGCAUUAAGCACUCCGCCUGGGGAGUACGGUCGCAAGACUGAAACUCAAAGGAAUUGACGGGGGCCCGCACAAGCGGUGGAGCAUGUGGUUUAAUUCGAAGCAACGCGAAGAACCUUACCAGGUCUUGACAUCCUCUGACAACCCUAGAGAUAGGGCUUUCCCUUCGGGGACAGAGUGACAGGUGGUGCAUGGUUGUCGUCAGCUCGUGUCGUGAGAUGUUGGGUUAAGUCCCGCAACGAGCG